rnacentral:tRNA from 1 species
UCCGGUAUGGUGUAACGGCUAACAUUGCCGCCUUUCAUAGGUAUUACUUGGCCUCUGACGCGGCAGCUCGGGGUUCGAUUCCCCGUACCGGAA